UCCCUGGUGGCUCAGAUGGUAAAGCAUCUGCCUGCAAUGCGGGAGACCUGGGUUCGAUCCCUGGGUCGGGAA
rfam:Ovis aries breed Texel chromosome 16, whole genome shotgun sequence.